UACUGACUGAUUGGAGUUGUUGCAGACAAGGAAAACUUUUGGAAGAAGAAUUAACGGACAUCUUAACGUCAGAUGGAUUAGGAGGUGAACUUUUUAUAAACAGAAAAUGCUCUUGAGUCUAGUUGAAUUGAAUGUAGGUGCUCAUGUGACUUAACCGUGUUCCAAAUAUUAGCUCCUGUUUUAAGCCUCUGGAUGCCUUUCCAUUUUGAACUGAACAAUGAAGAUUCAUUGAAAUACUAUCAUCAUCACCACACCUGGGAUGACUGAAUAAAUUUUUUUUUGCCCCCCCA
rnacentral:lncRNA from 1 species